GACGAACGCUGGCGGCGGGCUUAACACAUGCAAGUCGAACGAAGUGGCGAACGGGUGAGUAACGCGUAAUCAACCUGCCCUUCAGAGGGGGACAACAGUUGGAAACGACUGCUAAUACCGCAUACGGCAGGAGGGGGUUGCGUCUUAUUAGCGGGUGGGAGGGGUAACAGCCCAACAAGGCGAUGAUCAGUAGCCGGGUUGAGAGGAUGAACGGGCAAAGUGGGACGGGGAACAGGCCCAGAAGUCUACCGGAGGCAGCAGUGGGGAAUAUUCCGACAUUGAGGAAAGGCUGACGGAGCAACGCCGCGUGAGUGAUGACGGCCUUCGGGUUGUAAAGCUCUGUUAAUCGGGACGCGGUACCGGAAUAGAAAGCCACGGCUAACUACGUGCCAGCAGCCGCGGUAAUAC
rnacentral:rRNA from 1 species